rnacentral:SRP_RNA from 1 species
GCCGGGUGUGGUAGCGUGUGCCUGUAAUCCCAGUUACUCGGAGGCUGAGGCAGGAGGAUCUCUUGAAUUCAGGAGGUGGAGGUUGCAGUGAGCCGAGCUUGCUCCACUGCACUCCAGCCUGGGCAACAGAGUGAGACUCUGUCUCAA